rnacentral:rRNA from 1 species
GGGUGAGUAAUGCCUAGGAAUCUGCCUGGUAGUGGGGGAUAACGCUCGGAAACGGACGCUAAUACCGCAUACGUCCUACGGGAGAAAGCAGGGGACCUUCGGGCCUUGCGCUAUCAGAUGAGCCUAGGUCGGAUUAGCUAGUUGGUGAGGUAAUGGCUCACCAAGGCGACGAUCCGUAACUGGUCUGAGAGGAUGAUCAGUCACACUGGAACUGAGACACGGUCCAGACUCCUACGGGAGGCAGCAGUGGGGAAUAUUGGACAAUGGGCGAAAGCCUGAUCCAGCCAUGCCGCGUGUGUGAAGAAGGUCUUCGGAUUGUAAAGCACUUUAAGUUGGGAGGAAGGGCAUUAACCUAAUACGUUGGUGUUUUGACGUUACCGACAGAAUAAGCACCGGCUAACUCUGUGCCAGCAGCCGCGGUAAUACAGAGGGUGCAAGCGUUAAUCGGAAUUACUGGGCGUAAAGCGCGCGUAGGUGGUUCGUUAAGUUGGAUGUGAAAUCCCCGGGCUCAAACUGGGAACUGCAUUCAAAACUGACGAGCUAGAGUAUGGGAGAGGGUGGUGGAAUUUCCUGUG